rnacentral:rRNA from 1 species
UGGGGGAUAUUGCACAAUGGGCGAAAGCCUGAUGCAGCGACGCCGCGUGGGGGAUGAAGGCUUUCGGGUUGUAAACCUCUUUCGCUACCGAACAAGGCCCGCUUAGGGUGGGUUGAGGGUAGGUGGAGAAGAAGCGCCGGCUAACUACGUGCCAGCAGCCGCGGUAAUACGUAGGGCGCGAGCGUUGUCCGGAAUUAUUGGGCGUAAAGGGCUUGUAGGCGGCUUGUUGCGCCUGCUGUGAAAACGCGGGGCUUAACUUCGCGCGUGCAGUGGGUACGGGCAGGCUUGAGUGUGGUAGGGGUGACUGGAAUUCCAGGUGUAGCGGUGGAAUGCGCAGAUAUCUGGAGGAACACCGAUGGCGAAGGCAGGUCACUGGGCCAUUACUGACGCCGAGGAGCGAAAGCAUGGGUAGCGAACAGG